rnacentral:rRNA from 1 species
ACAGUCCUACGGGGCGCAGCAGUGGGGGAUAUUGCACAAUGGGGGGAACCCUGAUGCAGCGACGCCGCGUGGGUGAAGGAGCGUUUCGGCGCGUAAAGCCCUAUCGGCAGGGAAGAAGAUGACGGUACCUGACCAAGAAGCCCCGGCUAACUACGUGCCAGCAGCCGCGGUAAUACGUAGGGGGGAAGCGUUAUCCGGUAUUACUGGGUGGAAAGGGGGCGCAGAAGGUAAUG